rnacentral:rRNA from 1 species
AUUGAACGCUGGCGGCAGGCCUAACACAUGCAAGUCGGGCGAGCGGCAGACGUGUGAGUAAUGUCUGGGGAUCUGCCUGAUUGAGGGGGAAAACUACUGGAACGGGUAGCUAAUACCGCAUACCGUCGGAUGAACCCAUAUGGGAUUAGCUACUAGGUGGGGUACAGGCUCACCGCGGCGACGAUCCCUGGCUGGUCUGAGAGGAUGAUCAGCCACACUGGGACUGAGACACGGCCCAGACUCCGACGGGAGGCAGCAGUGGGGAAUAUUGCGCAAUGGGAGAAAGCCUGAUGCAGCCAUGCCGCGUGUAUGAAGAAGGCCUGCGGGUUGUAAAGUACUUUCAGUCGGGAGGCGUUACCGACAGAAGAAGCACCGGCUAACUCCGUGCCAGCCGCCGCGGUAAUUC